AACGCGAAGAACCUUACCUGGGUUUGACAUGCACAGGACGUGCCUAGAGAUAGGUAUUCCCUUGUGGCCUGUGUGCAGGUGGUGCAUGGCUGUCGUCAGCUCGUGUCGUGAGAUGUUGGGUUAAGUCCCGCAACGAGCGCAACCCUUGUCUCAUGUUGCCAGCACGUUAUGGUGGGGACUCGUGAGAGACUGCCGGGGUCAACUCGGAGGAAGGUGGGGAUGAGGUCAAGUCAUCAUGCCCCUUACGUCCAGGGCUGCACACAUGCUACAAUGGCCGGUACAACGGGCUGCUAAUCCGCGAGGAGGAGCCAAUCCCCAAAGCCGGUCUCAGUUCGGAUCGCAGUCUGCAACUCGACUGCAUGAAGUCGGAGUCGCUAGUAAUCCCGGAUCAGCAACGCCGGGGUGAAUACGUUCCCGGGCCUUGUACACACCGCAUAC
rnacentral:rRNA from 1 species